GAUGAACGCUGGCGGCGUGCCUAAUACAUGCAAGUCGAGCGAACGGACGAGAAGCUUGCUUCUCUGAUGUUAGCGGCGGACGGGUGAGUAACACGUGGAUAACCUACCUAUAAGACUGGGAUAACUUCGGGAAACCGGAGCUAAUACCGGAUGAUAUUUUGAACCGCAUGGUUCAAAAGUGAAAGACGGUCUUGCUGUCACUUAUAGAUGGAUCCGCGCUGCAUUAGCUAGUUGGUAAGGUAACGGCUUACCAAGGCAACGAUGCAUAGCCGACCUGAGAGGGUGAUCGGCCACACUGGAACUGAGACACGGUCCAGACUCCUACGGGAGGCAGCAGUAGGGAAUCUUCCGCAAUGGGCGAAAGCCUGACGGAGCAACGCCGCGUGAGUGAUGAAGGUCUUCGGAUCGUAAAACUCUGUUAUUAGGGAAGAACAUAUGUGUAAGUAACUGUGCACAUCUUGACGGUACCUAAUCAGAAAGCCACGGCUAACUACGU
rnacentral:rRNA from 1 species